AUUGAACGCUGGCGGCAUGCCUUAUACAUGCAAGUCGAACGGCAGCACGGGUGCUUGCACCUGGUGGCGAGUGGCGAACGGGUGAGUAAUACAUCGGAACGUACCUUAUCGUGGGGGAUAACGCAGCGAAAGCUGUGCUAAUACCGCAUACGCCCUGAGGGGGAAAGCGGGGGAUCGCAAGACCUCGCGCGAUUAGAGCGGCCGAUGCCUGAUUAGCCUGUUGGUGGGGUAAAAGCCCACCAAGGCGACGAUCAGUAGCUGGUCUGAGAGGACGAUCAGCCACACUGGGACUGAGACACGGCCCAGACUCCUACGGGAGGCAGCAGUGGGGAAUUUUGGACAAUGGGGGCAACCCUGAUCCAGCAAUGCCGCGUGAGUGAAGAAGGCCUUCGGGUUGUAAAGCUCUUUUGUCAGGGAAGAAACACCGGCUCUAACACAGUCCGGGAAUGACGGUACCUGAAGAAUAAGCACCGGCUAACUACGUGCCAGCCGCCGCAGUAA
rnacentral:rRNA from 1 species